UUGAAUGUAUAUUAUUAUUAUAUAAACGAGAAAAAGUGUAUAAUAAGCAGAAUCAUUAAGCUGUUAUUAUAUGAGCUUCAGUUAUAUCAUUGACUAAGGACAGACGGUAGACGUGAUAUCAAAGUGGAACUUCGUGCCUCGGAUUCUGAAAUACCGACUAGAACAAAAUCAGAGUAUUUCUUAUGCUCUUUGGGAUUUGAUAUGGCGAAUAGAGAAAUUAUAUUCAACUCAAUUAUUAUGAGGCGGAGCUAAUGCUGGUAUGAAGCGGGUGUGAUGGAGGGGAACUGACAUUUGUCUGAAUUGUUUCUUACAGUGGUUUUCAAUUUGACGUUAAUUGGCAAGUGAAUUAUCUCUAAAGACAUUUUAGUUAGAUAUACAUUUUAUUUAUACUGUACUCGAUAAACAUGGAAACCUUUCUCGAGGACCCGUGUCAGUCGUCAGUGAUCGCGACGGACCAUGUGCCGAUAAUCUAAACAUUCCCCGACAUUGAACUGUUGAUCGGUUUCAGCCAGUCUCCGAGCAAAUGUCGAAAGGACCAGAUCCAAAGCUUCGGUUGCCUUCG